UACGAAGGGUGCAAGCGUUAAUCGGAAUUAAUGGGCGUAAAGGGUGCGUAGGCGGUUGUUUAAGUCUGUCGUGAAAUCCCCGGGCUCAACCUGGGAAUGGCGAUGGAUACUGGGCAGCUAGAGUGUGUCAGAGGAUGGUGGAAUUCCCGGUGUAGCGGUGAAAUGCGUAGAGAUCGGGAGGAACAUCAGUGGCGAAGGCGGCCAUCUGGGACAACACUGACGCUGAAGCACGAAAGCGUGGGGAGCAAACAGG
rnacentral:rRNA from 1 species